UUUUUGGAGUUUACUCCUUUAGAAUCGAUUUACAUAUAUAGGCCCGGGGUAUGAAAAUUAUGGGGACCAAAAUCGUACUAGCAUGUCACACGAAAUGCGUUAUGCGCCUGAUUGCGCAUGUCACACGAAAUGUGUUAUCGCAGGUGAUGCCGGGCUGCUGCGCCGGCAGUCCGCCACAAAGCCUCGUACUGAUCGCGCGUUUCUCUCAUUAUUGUAUUUUCAUAUAUUUGUUAGUCGUUUGUUUUGUGUCUCGUUAAUUUGUUAAUAAUCUGUAGUGUAUCGUGUUGUCGUAAUAUAGAACUAUUUCUCGUAUUGUUUCGUUUAAUUUUUUAUAUCCAGUAAACUCCAGUCGUGCGUCGGAGCGGACACACACACUUUUUUAUUUCUGAACCAUAUAAAUGUAUAAAUAUUGUGAAAAUACAAUAGGUGUUUUUAUUCAAACUAACAGGUGGCUUCCCAAUAACUGCACUAUUAAGCUUUGUCUGCUUUUAUACAGUCGAUACUUAAAAAAAAGAGGUGGAUGAAGCCGAAGACCAGACUCAGUGGUGUGGAUUGGGAGAUGCCUAUGCGAUGCCAGUGGACGACUAUGGGCGGAUGAUGAUGAUGAUGAUACAAUAUUGGAGGUAGACCGCAGGUUCAAGGAUGUUUUAGGGCCCCAACCACCAAACGACUCCCCUCGCGCUCUCUCACCCGGCGAUCGAUGUUCGCCCGGAGUCAGAACCCAGGAGAAGUAACGGGGUUCCCGUGGUCAACACUACAACUAGACUUCCUUACUGAACCUGCCAUUGCAGCAACCAUAGGCACCUCGUGGGUGCGAAAUCAUGAAUUCCAUUUUAAAUUUUUUUUUUUUAAUAAUUAGUUGUAUAUUUGUAUGAUGAUAAUGACAGCCGUUUAGUUUAUUUAGUUAUUAACCUUUUUCUUCUUCUUUUUCUCCACCUUAUCCCACUAGGUGGGGUCCGCACGGCUAAUUUUUCUCUUCCAUUCUCUUCUAUCAGCCGUCAUCUCAACACUCACUCCUCUCUCUCUCAUAUCGUCAUUCACACACCCAAUCCAUGUUUUCUUCGGUCGACCUCUUCCCCCUCUACCUUGCACUACCAUUUCAAUACAUCUCCUAUUCACAUGCAUCUUCUCUCUACGCAUCAAUAAGUUACUAACCUUUUUAUAGUGCAUUUAAUCAAUACACAUACAAUUCCAUUUAGAUUACUAAACCACAAUUUCAGGCUAAAACUGUGAAGCGUAUACAUUUAUUUAAAUCGGAAAUACAGGAUUUCCGUCCCCAGUGGUGGUUGGUCUAGUGGUUUCAUCGAUCGUGUCCGCUGCGUUCCUUUCAUUAAAAACUUCCGGUCGACUGUUUUCAGGCAGCAUUAGUUGCGUUGCAUGCAUAAUUUUUCAACUUACUUAUAUUUUCAUUUGGAUGCAUAAGUUGUGCGCUCAGUGUGCAUUCUUUAACUACUCGGUCGACUGUUGCAUCUUUGCCAUAAGAAUUUCUGAUCUAAAUUAAUAAUUCUUAUUCUUUUCUUUAACUCCGCCAUUGCCGGUCCCAAGCCCGGAUGAGAAAAGAUGAGGGUUGGCGUCGGUAUGCCACCUACCCGGCCGUAAAAAUUUAUCGCCGAGCAACGGGCGGCGGUCAACUAACCCGAACUAGGGCUUCAGUAGCCCAGAGGAACUAAAUCGCCUCUGAAAUUCUGCUGUGGAAGGAGGCGGGAACCCACCACUAGCAAUUUUCCCAAGAAAACCUUUACGUAUGUACUCCGUAAAGGUCACGUUCCACAGCACUGAGGAACAGGACCCACUGAGGAGGAUUCUUUUCUAAGCCGAAUGUUCUACGUAAUAAUAAGAGUCAAUGUGACUAUAUACAUUUGGUAUUAUCUUCAAAAAUUUUACACAUCCUCGUGUUGUUUGACACUUUUCCACUUUCACUUGUCUUUUCGUUCUAAGAAACAAUGUCGCUUUCAAAUUUAAUACGCUUUUUUAUUAGCUUCAGACGUAUGUAUGUUAUUAUGUAACGGAAUCUUUGAACAUGAUUUUGACCCCCUUCAAGACGUCGGAUUAACUCGAAAUUUGGUAUACUUAUUAUGGACCGAUGACAAUUCAAUAUUUAAAAAAAACUGAAAAAAAAUAUUGAAAUAUUGAAAUUCAAUUAAAUGAAAAAUGUGCAUGGUAUCAGUAGUUAUAAAUAUUUUAUGAACAGAUAUGAGUAGAAGGGUUAUUUUGAUAAUACCCUGAGAAGCACCCCACGCUUUUUUUUACAAAAUCAUUUUAUCUUACACUAUUUUUAAUUCAAAUUUAUUAAAAUUUAUUUUCUAUUUUUAGUUGGAUUUUCUAUAAAAGCGUAUUUUGUUAGCGUAGCGAAGCGUAGUUCUCCGGCAUUCUUUUGGCGAUGUCGAUUGCAUGUUGCACGUAAUAUUUAUUAUGGAUUUUGAUCUUAAUAUAUUAUUUUGGUUUUUAUUAAUAAAUUACAAAAAGUUUCGUACGCAGCACUUGUGUCUUUGAGCAUCUCUGAGCUGGGUACAAUGAAAAAUGAUUACACUUUUUCUAAAAGCCAAUAAUGUUAUUAUAAAAAUGGGGCAAUUCAUGCUCAUUAUUGGCAGUCUGAGCAAUACUAACAUGCUUAAUGAGAUUUCGUAGACUGAAUGUGCUUACGGGAAUCGUGUGCAGCCACUCCAAAUAUAUUAUUUAGUAAAAAUUUCUAACGUAAAAAAUACUCCUUAGGCUGUAAAAUCUUAUUUUGUUGUUAUCCAUUGGUCAGGGAACUCAACGAAAGCUGAUUGAAUUUGAAUUUGAAUUUUUAUUAAAAGUAUUUUUGUUUGCUUUAUUAUCGCAUAGAUUUUUGUUCAUUAAUAAAGUGUCCUUUUCGAAUAAAUCCCUAAUGUCGUUUACACAGACUAGACGGCUGCGAAAACGAGAUUCAAACUUUGGGAAGUAAUCGUAAUAUAGAUCGUCAUAUUUUUAGGUAAUUAAACUUGAUUUAUUGUGAUUUAUGUCAUAAAUUGAUAUUGGGAUAUUCAAAUCUUUUGAUCAACAAAUUUAAAACAUUCAAAGCGAAAAUACUUACAACCUGUAUUUUAACUUGAAUAUUUUGAUUUGAAAUUGUUACAAACGUGGGGUUGAUGCGGUAAUUUUAGGUUAUUUAUUUUUCUUUCGUAACCAAACUAAAGAUGUAUAGUAUUAUUUAUAUUUAUAGUAUUCAUGUAAAGAAAUAUACGAAAACGUACGGAGGCGAUGAAAGAAAAAAAUCAGAUCCCGCUGAAAAUAAUUCUGAUGCCAAUAAAAGUACUGCUACUUUUCUCUGCCUCUUCAUGACAUUGGUUUAAAUUAGCGUUGUUAUAUAAUGGAGACUUCACACGGUCUCGUGUCUCGAAAUCCGCGGUCCAUUUUCACGAAAAGGAACAUGCUGCAACAAUUUUUUGUCCAUUGCCUAAUAUCGAAAUACAUAAGCUUAUCGCUUAAACAUCCACGAACCAACCUAAGAGAUAAUGGUAGCUGUUGUAAGUUUGUAAUUUUCCAUACAUUCCCUAGCUCAAAUAUAAGUACUUAAGAUUUUUUUUAUCAAGCGGUAUUGUUAUUUUAAGUGCUUUUGUUUAAGAUUUAUGUUUUAUGUUUCAAUGUGUUUAAAUAUGUUAUUUUUAUUUUGUUUUGUUUAUUUAAUAGCCGACUUAACUUAAUAGGUGUAUGGCUUUAAUAAAGAAUAUAAAAAAAAAAACCGCUUGACCUUAAACCUACUCGUACAAAAAACAUGUAAUAUGUAAUAA